UACGAAGGGUGCAAGCGUUAAUCGGAAUUACUGGGCGUAAAGCGUGCGUAGGCGGUUUGUUAAGUCUGUUGUGAAAUCCCCGGGCUCAACCUGGGAAUGGCAAUGGAUACUGGCAAGCUAGAGUGUGAUAGAGGAUGGUGGAAUUCCCGGUGUAGCGGUGAAAUGCGUAGAGAUCGGGAGGAACAUCAGUGGCGAAGGCGGCCAUCUGGAUCAACACUGACGCUGAGGCACGAAGGCUAGGGGAGCAAACAGG
rnacentral:rRNA from 1 species